rnacentral:rRNA from 1 species
AUUGAACGCUGGCGGAAUGCUUUACACAUGCAAGUCGAACGGUAGAGGGGGCAACCCCUCGAGAGUGGCGAACGGGUGAGUAAUAUAUCGGAACGUGCCCAGUCGUGGGGGAUAACGUAGCGAAAGUUACGCUAAUACCGCACACGAUCUAAGGAUGAAAGCGGGGGAUCGCAAGACCUCGCGCGAUUGGAGCGGCCGAUAUCAGAUUAGGUAGUUGGUGGGGUAAAGGCUCACCAAGCCAACGAUCUGUAGCUGGUCUGAGAGGACGACCAGCCACACUGGAACUGAGACACGGUCCAGACUCCUACGGGAGGCAGCAGUGGGGAAUUUUGGACAAUGGACGCAAGUCUGAUCCAGCCAUUCCGCGUGCAGGAUGAAGGCCCUCGGGUUGUAAACCGCUUUUGUACGGAACGAAAGGGCUCUGGUUAAUACCUGGGGCUCAUGACGGUACCGUAAGAAUAAGCACCGGCUAACUACGUGCCAGCCGCCGCGGUAA